rnacentral:tRNA from 1 species
AAUAAGUUGGCAGAAUAGUGCCAUCGAUUUAGGAUCGGUUCAUGGGUGUUGCCCACUUAUUA